GCACCAUUAGCUUAGUUGGUAAAGCAGCUGACUCUUAAUCAGAAGACCCUCGGUUCGAGUCCGAGAUGGUGCACCA
rnacentral:tRNA from 2 species